rnacentral:rRNA from 1 species
UACGGGGGAGCAAGCGUUGUUCGGAUUUACUGGGCGUAAAGGGCGCGUAGGCGGCCACCGCAAGUCGAUUGUGAAAUCUCCGGGCUUAACCCGGAAAGGUCAACCGAUACUGCGGGGCUAGAGUGCAGAAGGGGCAACUGGAAUUCUCGGUGUAGCGGUGAAAUGCGUAGAUAUCGAGAGGAACACCUGCGGCGAAGGCGGGUUGCUGGGCUGACACUGACGCUGAAGCGCGAAAGCUAGGGAGCGAACGGG